rnacentral:rRNA from 1 species
AACGAACGCUGGCGGCAGGCUUAACACAUGCAAGUCGAGCGGGCGCUUUAGGGCGUCAGCGGCGGACGGGUUAGUAACGCGUGGGAACGUGCCCUUUGCUCUGGAAUAGCCCUGGGAAACUGGGGGUAAUACCGGAUGUGCCCUGAGGGGGAAAGAUUUAUCGGCAAGGGAUCGGCCCGCGUCUGAUUAGGUAGUUGGUGGGGUAACGGCCCACCAAGCCGACGAUCGGUAGCUGGUUUGAGAGGAUGAUCAGCAACACUGGGACUGAGACACGGCCCAGACUCCUACGGGAGGCAGCGGUGGGGAAUCUUAGACAAUGGGCGCAAGCCUGAUCUAGCCAUGCCGCGUGGGUGAUGAAGGCCUUAGGGUCGUAAAGCCCUUUCGCCGGGGAAGAUAAUGACGGUACCCGGUAAAGAAACCCCGGCUAACUCCGUGCCAGCAGCCGCCGUAACAC